rnacentral:rRNA from 1 species
UGUAAGCGUAUACCAAAGUUGUUGCAGUUAAAACGCUCGUAGUCGGAAUUUGGCAGUUCCGGAAGUGUGCACGUCGUGUGCGCACUUUGCGGGACUGCUUUUGUGGUCUUGCGUAGGAUGAGGCACUUUCAUUAGUGAACGUCCUCACGCAACCACUCUUUACUGUGAGAAAAUCAGAGUGCUCAAAGCAGGCAUUUGCCGUGAAUGUAUUAGCAUGGAAUAAUAGAAUAGGACUCGGUUCUAUUUUGUUGGUUUGUUGGGACUGAGUAAUGAUUAAGAGGGACAGUUGGGGGCAUUUGUAUUCCGGCGCUAGAGGUGAAAUUCUUAGAUUGCCGGAAGACAAACUGCUGCGAAAGCGUCUGCCAAGGAUGUUUUCAUUGA